rnacentral:lncRNA from 1 species
GUCGUCCCCAGGAUGCCCGCCCUGCCAGUGCCAGAACAUGACUCCCGGCCUCCAGUUUUGUACCCAAACCUGGCGGAAUUGGAAAAUUAUAUGGGUCUUUCCCUCUCCAGCCAAGAAGUCCAGCAGAACCUGCCUCAGAUUCCAGAAGGGGCCAGGGUAGGUAUCUGUCUCUUGGUAUCCCUCCUUCUUGGUCUUGCCAUUUAAACAGACUUGAAACAAUCCUUCCCCAGCAUUGCUGUGCCUCUGUUUCUUGAUGGCACUUUUCUUUUCUUUCUUUUCUUUUUUUUUUGUCUUUCUGCUAUUUCUUGGGCUGCUCCCACGGCAUAUGGAGGUUCUCAGGCUAGGGGUCGAAUCGGAGCUGUAGCCCCCGGCCUACGCCAGAGACACAGCAAUGUGGGAUCCGAGCCGUGUCUGCAACCUACACCACAGCUCACGGCAACGCCGGAUCGUCAACCCACUGAGCAAGGCCAGGGACUGAACCCGCAACCUCAUGGUUCCUAGUCGGAUUCGUUAACCACUGCGCCACGACGGGAACUCCAAAGCUGGAUUCUUAACCCACUGAGGGAGGCCAGGGAUCGAACCCGCAUCCUCACAGAGACCACAUCAGUUCCUGAACCUGAUGAGCCGGGACGGGAACUUCUAGGUAUUUUUAAAUUUGAAUUGUAUGACUCGGUCCAUCAACAAAUCUUCACUGAGCACUACUGUAUUCUCAGGGCCUAGCACAGUGCCAGGCAAAGAGCAAUUUUUCAAAAAUGAUUCAUGAACGGUCAAGGGCCCAAGGGCCCCUGCUGCCGGCUGGACACGGAAAAGUGAAGCAGGCAGGCCUGGGGCUGUCCUCCCAGGGCCUCGCAGACAAAGGACGUUCACGACUUGGGCCUGAGCUGGUGGUGAGAUCUGUUCUCCUCUCACAGGGGGAAAGAACAGGCCAAGGAUACCAGUCUUAACCCUUAUGAGUCAGAGAGGAACCGGCAGUGGAGCCUUAGUCACCUUCCCCCGAAGGCCCCGGGCCUGUCACCCUGCUGCUGCAGGCCUGGCACUUGCCUCCACUGGUCAGUGUGCAGCCAUCAUUUCCUCAGCCUAAGAUGGAGAGAAACCCACCAGGAUUUUAAAAAGUGACAAGAUCGCUGUUUUACGGAACAAGCCUGGAAGACACCAUCGUCCUUUUAACAUACAAUCUUUCAGAGUUCCUGUCGUGGCUCAGCAGAAACAGAACAAAGGGUGGGGGGGUAUGUAAUUGUAAUGUAUACACGUAAGGAUAACUUGAUCCCCUUGCUGUACAGUGGGAAAAUAAAAAAUAAAAAUAGGAAUCA